UUGUCUAAUUACAAAUAUUUAGAUUUUUCACAAAACCUAAAAAUCUCUAGAAAUCUCUGAGCCAGUAUUUGAGUUCAGGAAACAGUGGAAUAGAUAAUAAUAUGAAGGUUUAUGGUAAGCGCUGCAUGCUAGAUGUGGCAGAAAUUCCCAGUUAACUUCUUGAAUCAAUAUUUGCAACCUCGCAAUACAUUUUAGCAUCAACUGCUAAAUUUCUGGAAAAUCCUUAAACAAAAAGAAAUGCUCUCAAACAGCAUUUAAAUAUCACACCAGAGAAUCAUCUUUUAGGACAAAUGCCCAAUUAUGUACCAAAAUGUGUUUGCUACAGUUUAUUGAAUAAAUCAUUAUUUCUAAUAUUCUGAUUUCUUUAACUGCGUAUAUAACUGCUAACUUUCUUUUAUGUCAAAUUUGUAAACAGUUUGUAGUUGUUGAUUCCAACACUGAUAAGAUUAUCAUAGUUUUUUGUCGCAGCAGUAUUGACAUUGUGAUAUUUACUGUGUGACAGAGAGAUCUGUGGAUUCUGUAGUGAUCUGCCUCGCUGUAGCUUUGGGACUCUGUGUGGUUGUGAUCUUUGCUUUGAUCUUUGUCCUAAGUAAAAGGAGAAACUCUGAACAAUGCAAGGUGAGACUCAAACAAGGUUCUGUGAGAGACAAGACCCUCAAUCAGGACUGUGACAAUGUGGAGCUGAAUUACGCCGCCUUACAUUUCAAUGAGAGGAGAGCCAAAAGAGGAAGAGUAAAGAAACAACAACCUCAAGAUAUUAUAUAUUCUGAUGUGCGAGGUCCUUCUGUAACUUAGAUUUGAUCUCUAAUAUGAUUCAGUGUCAUUAGUUCUGUUAUCAGGUUUACUGUAUAUAUGUUUUGUUAAUGAUUGUUCAGUCUGAAUUCAAACUGAAAGCUGAAUGACGUAGAAGUCUCAAAAUCACUGAAACACUGGAGCACUGGUUCUGCCAAGGAGUGAAG